rnacentral:rRNA from 1 species
UACGUAGGCAGCGAGCGUUGUUCGGAGUUACUGGGCGUAAAGCGUGCGUAGGCGGUGUCUUAAGUUUGUUGUGAAAUCUCCCGGCUUAACCGGGAGGGUGCGGCGAAUACUGAGAUGCUGGAGUGCCGGAGAGGUAAGCGGAAUUCCUGGUGUAGCGGUGAAAUGCGUAGAUAUCAGGAGGAACACCUGCGGUGUAGACGGCUUACUGGACGGUACUGACGCUGAGGCACGAAAGCGUGGGUAGCAAACAGG